GAUGAACGCUGGCGGCGUGCUUAACACAUGCAAGUCGAACGGGAAAUCUUUUAAUGAAGCUUCGGCAGAUUUAGCUGGUUUCUAGUGGCGGACGGGUGAGUAACGCGUGGGUAACCUGCCUUAUACAGGGGGAUAACAGUCAGAAAUGACUGCUAAUACCGCAUAAGCGCACAGGACCGCAUGGUCCGGUGUGAAAAACUCCGGUGGUAUAAGAUGGACCCGCGUUGGAUUAGCUUGUUGGUGGGGUAACGGCUCACCAAGGCGACGAUCCAUAGCCGGCCUGAGAGGGUGAACGGCCACAUUGGGACUGAGACACGGCCCAGACUCCUACGGGAGGCAGCAGUGGGGAAUAUUGCACAAUGGGGGAAACCCUGAUGCAGCGACGCCGCGUGAAGGAAGAAGUAUCUCGGUAUGUAAACUUCUAUCAGCAGGGAAGAUAGUGACGGUACCUGACUAAGAAGCCCCGGCUAACUACGUG
rnacentral:rRNA from 1 species